UGGAAUUAACGUUACGUAGGCGUCGCCGUCGCCACUCAGCUAUUUUUUUUUGCCCUUCUUCAUAGACCUCGUUUUGAAGCACACAGCUUGUUCCUCGCCUUGCGGCCUGCGGGGUAUCCUCCUCCACCCCGACAAAAUGAAGUCAAGGAGGAUAUUUGGAUUCUCUGUGUCUCUCAUUCUCAUCAACCUUGCUUCUAUUAUGGAGCGUGCCGAUGAGAGUCUAUUACCAGCAGUUUAUAAAGAAGUUAGUCAGGCCUUCAAUGCUGGUCCUAUUGAGCUCGGAUACCUUACUUUCAUACUAAAGUUUGUUCAGUCAAUAGCAUGUCCUGUGGCAGGCGUGCUAAUCCUUUAUCAUGACCGCCCUGUUGUUUUGGCAAUGGGUACUGCCUUCUGGGCUUUGUCCACAGCUGCAGUUGGUUUGAGCCAGCGUUUUGAGCAGGCUGCAUUUUGGAGGGCAAUAAAUGGGUUUGGGUUGGCCAUUGUCAUACCUGCACUGCAAUCAUUCAUCGCAGAUAGUUAUAUGGACGGUAUGCGUGGUACUGGAUUUGGCUUGUUAAGCCUUGUAGGUGCAGUAGGGGGGAUCGGAGGUGGCGUUCUAGCUACAAUUAUGGCUGGACACGAGUAUUGGGGAAUACCAGGAUGGCGUUUUGCUUUCAUCAUGAUGGCAUCACUGAGCUUGCUGAUUGGAGUUCUGGUAUAUCUGUUUGUUGUUGAACCUAGGAAAGAUCCUUUGGCUGCUCAUGGUGCUGAUGAUGGCACUGAAAGGGUCAUGUUGGUUCCGAAAGGUACCGUAACUGUAUCUUCGAUCUGGAGUAAUUCCUGGUUAGCAAUGAAAUCUGUGAUGAGAGUGCAUACAUUUCAGAUCAUUGUCCUUCAAGGCAUUGUUGGUUCAUUACCAGGGGCAGCCAUGGUUUUCUUCACAAUGUGGUUCGAAUUGAUAGGAUUCGACAAUAACAGCUCGGCUUCGUUAAACAGCCUUUUCCUCGUCGGAUGUGCUUUGGGUUCCUUCCUAGGGGGAUGCAUAGCUGAUAGCAUCUCCAAAUACUACCCCGACUCGGGCCGAGUUAUGUGCGCUCAAUUCAGUGCUUUCAUGGGUAUUCCUUUUUCUUGGAUUCUUUUUACUCGAAUCGAGCAGUCUGUAGAAAACUGGAAUGCUUUCGCCGUCACAGUGUUCUUCAUGGGCUUAUGCAUUAGCUGGUGUGCCUCUGGCGCCAACAACCCCAUGUUUGCAGAGGUUGUCCCUUCCAAGCAUCGCACAAUGAUUUAUGCAUUUGAUCGAGCAUUCGAAGGAUCGUUCGCCUCAUUUGCAGCGCCAGCAGUAGGUUUCCUUACCGAGAAGAUUUAUGGUUAUGAUCCGAAAUCAUUCGAGACGUCAGGCGGGUCCGCUCAAGGUGCAUUAGCACUAUCAAAGGGUCUUCUGGCGAUGACUGUCCUUCCUUUCGGCUUGUGUUCCUUAUUUUACAGUCCUCUCUAUGUGGUAUUCAAGCGCGAUCGGGAUAGCGCUAAGGUGGCCUGUUCAAAGGAGCUAGAAAUGAUCUCGUAGAAAGACAAUAGCAACACCAUCGAUCGCAGAACAUUACCUGAGACCUUUGACCUUGAUGCAUUGGAGUUAGAUGAAUCAAUCAAUCCUACUGAGUAUGUAAUUUUUCACCUUAGAUUGUAUAGGGAAUUCAAGUGGAUGUUAACUCUGUGUAAUUGUUUACUUUGUUCACAUAUUUUGAUGCAGUUGUCCAGACAAUCACUAAAAAGAUUAUGAGCAAAUAACUUUGACAAGUGAAGCUUCAGCAUCGCAAGAUCAAUAUGUAGCUUUCUUCAUGGAUAAGGUCAAGCCUUGUCUCACUUGGAACUGGAGCUUCAAUCUUCACCUCCUGUCAGAGAACAGAAACAAAAGAGAAGAAUGAAAAAACAUUCAUAUGAUGAAAAAAUUAUAUUGACAAAUGCGUAAUUAUCGCUAUUGUUUUUUAGAGAAGAACUUUUAUGAUUUGAUCUGGUGUAUCAACAAUUAACUAAUCUAACUUUAUCGCCGUCACUUUAUAAACAAAUUUUUCAUGA